rnacentral:rRNA from 1 species
UAUUGGUCAAUGGACGAGAGUCUGAACCAGCCAAGUCGCGUGAGGGAAGACUGCCCUAUGGGNUGUAAACCUCUUUUAUAAGGGANNAANNNUNUCUACGUGUAGAAUGAUGCCUGUACAUUAUGAAUAANNNUNGNCUAACUCCGAGCCAGCAGCCGCGGUAAUACGGAGGAUGCGAGCGUUAUCCGGAUUUAUUGGGUUUAAAGGGUGCGUAGGCGGUUUAUUAAGUUAGUGGUUAAAUAUUUGAGCUAAACUCAAUUGUGCCAUUAAUACUGGUAAACUGGAGUACAGACGAGGUAGGCGGAAUAAGUUAAGUAGCGGUGAAAUGCAUAGAUAUAACUUAGAACUCCGAUAGCGAAGGCAGCUUACCAGACUGUAACUGACGCUGAUGCACGAGAGCGUGGGUAGCGAACAGG